ACAGAGGUGGCAAGCGUUGUUCGGAUUUAUUGGGCGUAAAGGGUCCGUAGGCGGCCUGGAAAGUUGGAUGUGUACUCCCCAAGCUGAACUGUGGAACUGCAUUCAAAACUUCUAGGCUCGAGUGUGAUAGGGGUAAAGGGAAUUCCCGGUGUAAGGGUGAAAUCUGCAGAGAUCGGGAGGAACACCAGUCGCGAAGGCGCUUUACUGGAUCGCUACUGACGCUGAGGGACGAAAGCCAGGGGAGCAAACGG
rnacentral:rRNA from 1 species